rnacentral:rRNA from 1 species
AAUGAACGUUGGCGGCGUGGAUUAGGCAUGCAAGUCGUACGCCCCGCAAGGGGCGUGGCGCAAGGGUGAGUAGUGCGACGGCAACCAACCUCGGGGUCGGGCAUAGCCGCCCGAAAGGGCGGGUAAUUCCCGGCGACCUCGCGUGGGGGCAUCCCCGUGCGAGGAAAGGUGCGAUUCCGCCCCGAGACGGGCCGUCGGGGUAUCAGGUUGUUGGCGGGGUAGCGGCCCACCAAGCCUGCGACGCCUACCGGGCGUGCGAGCGUGGCCCGGCACACUGGGACUGAGACACUGCCCAGACACCUACGGGUGGCUGCAGUCGAGAAUCUUCGGCGAUGGGCGCAAGCCCGACCGAGCGACGCCACGUGGGGGACGAAGGCCUUCGGGUUGUAAACCCCUGUCGAGGGGGAGCAAGGGCGCAUGCAGAAUGCGUCUUGAGCGAUCCCUGGAGGAAGCACGGGCUAAGUUCGUGCCAGCCGCCGCGGUAAAAC